CUUUAAAAGAUGAGAAACAGGCUAACUACAAAACAAAAAGGUAUAUUGCAGAGAGAAGAUAAUGCCUAAUAAUUAAAGCCGCAAAUUAGCAGUACUCUAGAAUCUACGUAUGCAAGGCUCACCACCCGAAGCAUAUUUAGGGUUCUUUGAAUCAUAGAUUUCGAGAGUCAAACAAGAAUUCUUGUUAAAAAAAAUACUUACAAUCCACCAAUAUUUUCCUUACAUUUCUUUACUCCAAAAAGACCAAUCUGUCGUAAACACAAAACAUAUUACAACUAUACUAACAUAAUGAAGACAGACUAGACAGUGGAAAUUACAUAUGAAGAAGCCAAGAAGGAAAAUUACACAUACCUUCUCCACCAAAAGAAACCCUGAAUGAUGAUACUGAUAUUAGGGUAUAUUUUCGUGUCACAGGCGUCAGAUGAAGCUGCCAUAUGAUCUGACCUUCCCUGAACAAACAAGAAAAGUUUAGAUCAAGCUGGCAGCUUCAAUUGAUACAAGUGCACGAUGAUGAAACAAGCACUUUCUCGAUUCCUACCACGCUAAGAAAAAAGAGAUCCUAACUGCGUUUUAUCUACAUCUUCUCAAAUCUUUUAUACUUAGAGAAGAGAGGGGAAUGGUGGCGUUAUAAAU
rnacentral:lncRNA from 1 species